rnacentral:rRNA from 1 species
AGGAUCAUUAUUGAAAUAAACCUGAUAAGUUGUUGCUGGUUCUCUAGGGAGCAUGUGCACACUUGUCAUCUUUGUAUCUUCACCUGUGCACAUUUUGUAGACCUGAGUAUCUCUCUGAAUGCUUUAUGGCACUCAGGAUUGAGAGUUGACUUUUUGUCUCUUCUUAUAUUCUCAGGUCUAUGUUUUUCAUAUACCCCAAUGUAUGUUUAUAGAAUGUAAUUAAUAGGCCUUUGUGCCUAUAAACCUUUACAACUUUCAGCAACGGAUCUCUUGGCUCUCGCAUCGAUGAAGAACGCAGCGAAAUGCGAUAAGUAAUGUGAAUUGCAGAAUUCAGUGAAUCAUCGAAUCUUUGAACGCACCUUGCGCUCCUUGGUAUUCCGAGGAGCAUGCCUGUUUGAGUGUCAUUAAUAAUAUCAACCUCUUUGGUUGGAUGUGGGUUUGCUGGCCUUUUUGAGGUCAGCUCCCCUUAAAUGCAUUAGCGGACAACAUUUUGCCAACUGUUCUUUGGUGUGAUAAUUAUCUACGCCAUUGAUGUGAAGCAAAGGUUCGGCUUCUAACAGUCCAUUGACUUGGACAAACUCUUUUCUUAUUAAUGUGACCUCAAAUCAGGUAGGACUACCCGCUGA